CGGUUGAUCCUGCCGGAGGUCACUGCUAUCGGGAUUCGACUAAGCCAUGCGAGUCGAGAGGGUUCGGCCCUCGGCGAACUGCUCAGUAACACGUGGAUAAUCUACCCUUAGGUGGGGGAUAACCUCGGGAAACUGAGGAUAAUACCCCAUAGAUCUAAGAUGCUGGAAUGCACUUAGAUUGAAAGUUCCGGCGCCUAAGGAUGAGUCUGCGGACUAUCAGGUGGUAGUCAGGGUAACGACCUGACUAGCCUACGACGGAUACGGGUUGUGGGAGCAAUAACCCGGAGACGAUAUCUGAGACACGAUAUCGGGCCCUACGGGGCGCAGCAGGCGCGAAACCUUCACAAUGCGCGAAAGCGCGAUGAGGGGAUCCCGAGUGCUUGCUCGUAAGAGUAAGCUGUUUCUCUGUUUAAAAAGCAGAGAGAGGAAGGGCUGGGUAAGACGGGUGCCAGCCGCCGCGGUAAUACCUGCAGCUCGAGUGGUGGCCGUUAUUAUUGGGCCUAAAACGUCCGUAGCCGGCCUGAUAAAUGCCUGGGUAAAUUGUGUAGCUUAACUAUACAAAUUCCGGGUAGACUGUCAGGCUUGAGACCGGGAGAGGCUAGAGGUACUCCUGGGGUAGAGGUGAAAU
rnacentral:rRNA from 1 species